GGCUUAUUCCCAAAAGGAGAAAUCUUAGGCCUUAAUUUUAGGGUGAAAUCAUUUUGGUCUUAUUUCUAAGAUGGCUCAUUUUGGUCUCACAAAAGAAAAGAAAGAUAUGUUCUCCGCCUCAAAGAACUACUCACUGAAUGGUAGGGACAGAGAGAGUCCCACAGAAGUGCUUACAGAGUCUUAAACAGUGUUAUGACAGCUAGUUUGGGGUUAACAGGAACGGUCCUUUUCUUCCCAACCUUGUUCUUCCUUCCUGGGGUUAGUUCUUAAAAUCAUUUACGGCAUCUAAGUGGAAGGCUGAGGCUGAGAGACGCUGCCAGCUACGGCCACGAGAACAUGUUAAGAUACCGAACAACACACCGCCUAAGAUGUGAAAGAUGUGCAGAUGAAUAAGGCCGAGGACUCACUUUUCCAAGCCUACCCUUGGGUUCAUGUGCCUUCUCAGGUACUGGUGAGCACAGCAGAAGUGGGAGCUCCUCCUGGCCCUUCUACAGACAGAAUUCUGAGUGACUUCUAUGACACCUGUCCUGUGGAUAAAUGCCUUCAACAUUUCCUCCUUUGGAUGACGACCUGGACCCUCCAAAACAAUGUGACUUUGUUGUUCUAGUGUUUUAUGUUAUUUGACAAAAGUGAAGGUAUCUAAAAACUCUUAGCAGGGUCACAACCCUGAUGAUUCCGAUUAGUCAGGAAGGAUAUUGUCCUGAGAAGUUAUAAGGACAUGAAAGUCAUUCAAUAGAGACCGAGCCCUUCCCCAGAGAAGCAGAGAACUGGGGUCCUGAUGGAUACAUGGAAGUGAAUUUCACAAGUGUGCAAAAAUAUAGACAAGAUCAUUAACUCGGCUGGCUGUUCAUGACACUUCUCUAAGGGAAGUGACAAUUCUCUUCCCCUUGGCUCUGUGAGCGGACUUCCUGGAAAUGCACCUCACUGCUCACCCGAAAACCACAGCGUAAACUAGAAUGCAUGGAAAGAUGCUGCCUCCGUGGGCUGAUCAGUUGACAAAACCUUCAGUGGAUGUGGAAAGUUUGGAAUGUUGCUGAUCCUGUGGCUUACCUAUCAUUUCUUUGCUCCUGGAUUUCUUGCCCACCCCAGUGUUGGAACUAACAUCCUGUGACUAACAGAUUAAAAAAAAAAAGUUAGACUUUAUUAACUUAGCAAGCCUCUAGUUCCUACCAACUAAAAAGCGAAUGUCAUCAGAUAGUGUCUAUGGCCUGUAGCUGAGACUCCCCCGUCUUUCUGUAAGCACCACUCUGACGGAUGCACGGACUAUUUUUGAAUUGCCUUGAUCUGUGACUUUCCCUGAUCUGCUACCGCUAAACUUCAUUCAGCUGCUUCCCCAUUGGGAACAUGGAAUCUGGGGCAUGGUCACCCAAAUUUGGCUCUGGAAUAA